AACGCGAACAUCUUUUACUGGAGUACCGACCACCACACUUGGAUUAGUCUUAUAUCGCCGCUCGCCUACAAGCUCUGAGAACACCACGAUGAAGACAACGGUGCUGAUACUGGCCGUCCUUCUUAUCUCAGCAGUGAUGCUGACCGAGGGAUCGCCGGCUAAACCAUCAAGGUCCGGCUCACGGGGCCAGAAAUGUGGGCACUACUACUGCGAACCAAACGAGACCUGCAAGCCGGGUCCCUUCGGGCGUGCAUGUACCAGUGAACUUAAAUACACGUGAAAGCCCAAUGGAUGAACACCAACGAGAUCAACGGACUUGGAUGGUCAAUAAAUUUAUAUGCGCCCACUAA